CAGGUCUCCUCGGCGGGGCGCGCGCCCGAGCGCUUGGCCGGUUCGUAGUCGUAGCGCACGCCCGGCCCGGCGUUCGAGACGCCGUAGAUCUGACC
rnacentral:tRNA from 1 species